rnacentral:tRNA from 2 species
UGGAUGUAUAACUCAGUUGGCUAGAGUAUCACGUUGACAUCGUGAAAGUCACUGGUUCGAGCCCAGUUACAUCCAA